GACGAACGCUGGCGGCGUGCCUAAUACAUGCAAGUAGGACGCUGAAGGAGGAGCUUGCUUCUCUGGAUGAGUUGCGAACGGGUGAGUAACGCGUAGGUAACCUGCCUGGUAGCGGGGGAUAACUAUUGGAAACGAUAGCUAAUACCGCAUAAUAGUAGAUGUUGCAUGACAUUUGCUUAAAAGGUGCAAUUGCAUCACUACCAGAUGGACCUGCGUUGUAUUAGCUAGUUGGUGGGGUAACGGCUCACCAAGGCGACGAUACAUAGCCGACCUGAGAGGGGGAUCGGCCACACUGGGACUGGGACACGGCCCAGACUCCUACGGGAGGCAGCAGUAGGGAAUCUUCGGCAAUGGACGGAAGUCCGACCGAGCAACGCCGCGUGAGUGAAGAAGGUUUUCGGAUCGUAAAGCUCUGUUGUAAGAGAAGAACGAGUGUGAGAGUGGAAAGUUCACACUGUGACGGUAUCUUACCAGAAAGGGACGGCUAACUACGUG
rnacentral:rRNA from 1 species